UCCGUCUACGCAAAGAAUUAAAAUUACAUUUCGGCCUCUCUGCACUCUUCAACGCGUCAGAAGUUUCUACGUUUCGCCACUUGUCACAAGCACAGCCACCCACUUACUUGCUCUUGAUGCAUCACGCGAUGACUAAAACACCCCUCGUUGUACCGUCGCUGUAGUGACACCUGCAGAAGGCACAGUACGUAGGCCUGACCCAUCAAUAACAGCAGAUCAGAACCACCAAAAUCUCGUACAACCGAGGCAUUAUUGUCACUAUACUAACUCAAUAAUUAAUGAAAUUUAAUUACUCCAAUAGCUGUCAGCUUGUCUCUUUCUUAGUUUCUGCCUCCCAAAGUUAGCAGUGUGUAGAAAAAGCGAUUGGUUCCAGUGUUUGUUUCCAUUGCGCAUUUAGAAGACUUCUACACCUCCUUUUCUUAACCUACACUCCCCCGCGCACGAUAGUGUAAAGCUUCUCUAGCCUCACCUCCCUCUUUACUCUUCAAUAUAUAUAUCUAUAUAUAUAUAUAUUGAUAAGCUAUAAAAUCUUUUCUUGAAGUUUCGCUUUUCUCAGCGUAAGUGUCACUGAAUUCGCCCAACUAUUACGUGUUUCGGUCCCUCUUUACUCUUCAAUAUAUAUAUCUAUACACUCCCCCGCGCACGAUAGUGUAAAGCUUCUCUAGCCUCACCUCCCUCUUUACUCUUCAAUAUAUAUAUCUAUAUAUAUAUAUAUUGAUAAGCUAUAAAAUCUUUUCUUGAAGUUUCGCUUUUCUCAGCGUAAGUGUCACUGAAUUCGCCCAACUAUUACGUGUUUCGGAUCGUUGCUUAAUUUUUCGAUAAUCGAAGCUAAAUCAAGGUAAUUGAAGUUAUUUAAGCUUGUAUUACUGUUAAUUGGCUUCAUGUCUGAUCUAAUACAGGCUUUGUUCAAUGUUGUUUAAUUUUAGUUAUUUUUUUAAUAAUUACUACUUCAUUUGAUUAGAUUUGAUGUUUUUGCUGUGGAGAGAUUUAGGACAAGCAAGUUUGUUUAUGCUGAGCUAUUAUUCUGUUAGGAGAUUUUUUUUUUCCUCAGAAAGUUUGAUUUCUUUCUUUUAUUUGAUAACGAGUGUUGUAUAUUGUUAUCUGAAACUACUGCGACUGUUUAAUUAAUUCAUAAAUAUGUAGUCCAUUAGUUUAUCGGUUAUUUUGAUGUGCAAUCUAUUGUUCAUGUAAUUGUUGUUAUUAUAAGGUGAUAUCUAACGCUGCUUUCUCCUGUAUAGCUGGCAAAAAUUGAAAGAAUAGAACAUAACAAGAUACGAAUAUAUUUUUUGUCUUGAGAAUUAUGAAAAAGAUAACAGAAAGAAAAGAUAAAAUGGUAGAAAGAACGGAAGCAGAAUUUAACUUUUGGUGAUUUUUAGAUUAGUUGAUAUGGAAUUAUGUUUAUUUUUCCCAAUAAAACCUAUUUAUCAGGAAAACUUUGGUAAUUUGUUUUGCAAAUGAUAAGGCAAAACUAUGGUAGUUGAAGUCUUGUACUGAAGGAAAUAUGAAGUUGAUGUGGC
rnacentral:lncRNA from 1 species